rnacentral:rRNA from 1 species
UACGUAGGGGGGCAAGCGUUGUCCGGAUUUAUUGGGCGUAAAGAGCGUGUAGGCGGUUUGGUAGGUCCGCUGUGAAAACUCGAGCUCAACCUCGAGACGCCGGUGGAAACCAUCAGACUAGAGUCCGGAAGAGGAGAGUGGAAUUCCUGGUGUAGCGGUGAAAUGCGCAGAUAUCGGGAAGAACACCCGUGGCGAAGGCGGCUCUCUGGGACGGUACUGACGCUGAGACGCGAAAGCGUGGGGAGCGAACAGG